rnacentral:rRNA from 1 species
GACGAACGCUGGCGGCGUGCUUAACACAUGCAAGUCGAACGGAAAGGCCCUGCUUUUGUGGGGUGCUCGAGUGGCGAACGGGUGAGUAACACGUGAGUAACCUGCCCUUGACUUUGGGAUAACUUCAGGAAACUGGGGCUAAUACCGGAUAGGAGCUCCUGCUGCAUGGUGGGGGUUGGAAAGUUUCGGCGGUUGGGGAUGGACUCGCGGCUUAUCAGCUUGUUGGUGGGGUAGUGGCUUACCAAGGCUUUGACGGGUAGCCGGCCUGAGAGGGUGACCGGCCACAUUGGGACUGAGAUACGGCCCAGACUCCUACGGGAGGCAGCAGUGGGGGAUAUUGCACAAUGGGCGGAAGCCGGAUGCAGCAACGCCGCGUGCGGGAUGACGGCCGUCGGGUUGUAAACCGCUUUCGCCUGUGACGAAGCGUGAGUGACGGUAAUGGGUAAAGAAGCACCGGCUAACUACGUG